rnacentral:misc_RNA from 1 species
AACUGAUACUACCUGCGGGAACCUGCGGAAGGAUCAUUACCGAGUUUACAACUCCCAAACCCCCUGUGAACCUAUACCAUUACUGUUGCUUCGGCGGGUCAUUGCCCCGGGGAAAGGACGAGGUGCCGCCUAGGCUCCCCGGCCCGCCCCCGGAAACAGGCGCCUGCCGGGGGAAUCAAACUCUUCUGUAUUUUUUACUUUUACUGUUAUACUGUCUGAGUACAAAACUAUAAAUGAAUC